rnacentral:rRNA from 1 species
ACCGCAUAAGCGCACAGAACCGCAUGGUUUGGUGUGAAAAACUCCGGUGGUAUAAGAUGGACCCGCGUUGGAUUAGCUAGUUGGCAGGGCAGCGGCCUACCAAGGCGACGAUCCAUAGCCGGCCUGAGAGGGUGAACGGCCACAUUGGGACUGAGACACGGCCCAGACUCCUACGGGAGGCAGCAGUGGGGAAUAUUGCACAAUGGGGGAAACCCUGAUGCAGCGACGCCGCGUGAAGGAAGAAGUAUCUCGGUAUGUAAACUUCUAUCAGCAGGGAAGAUAAUGACGGUACCUGACUAAGAAGCCCCGGCUAACUACGUGCCAGCAGCCGCGGUAAUACGUAGGGGGCAAGCGUUAUCCGGAUUUACUGGGUGUAAAGGGAGCGUAGACGGCGCAGCAAGUCUGAUGUGAAAGGCAGGGGCUUAACCCCUGGACUGCAUUGGAAACUGCUGUGCUUGAGUGCCGGAGGGGUAAGCGGAAUUCCUAGUGUAGCGGUGAAAUGCGUAGAUAUUAGGAGGAAC